CUCCUGCUAAUCAUGAAGUUAGGAAGAGAAACACAGAGACUGAGGAGUGAACUCUCCUCUCCUCUGCUCAGAGAGAGAGAGAGAGAGAGAGCGGCUGGUAAAGACCGAUAUGAAUCAGAAUGAGGUAAAGGAGCAAUAUGCUUGAACCAAAGUGAAGCCUUCAUGUGUAGAAGUGAACGAGCAGCAGUUUCUGCUGGGUGGAGAACACGAAUCCCCCCCCCCCCCCCACUCUGUGCUGACAGGCAGGAUGGAUCUCUGGGGAACCGAGUCAGAAAAGGGAUCUCAGAUAUAAAAGUGAUUUUACUUUGCUACUGAUUCAAAUCAAUAAAAAGUGUAAAUCAAGGAAAACAUAGAAACAGUGUAGAUGUUAGAAAUGGAACUCGACUGAUUUCACAUUUGGUUUAAGACAAAGUUAGGCUCCGCCCACACGGACACGCUGUAGUAAACGCCGCCCGCCUCGUUUCAGUUUGAACAGAAACUGAGACGCAGACGUUCUCUUCCUGAUUGGUUCUCAUCAGUCACAUGACUCGACUAAUAGCCGUGAACACAAAGCGUCGCUAACACUUCCUGUCGGUGACACGUCCUGUCAGAAGCACUUCCUGUCGGUGACACCUCCACCUGCUCUGACUCUUCACCAUCACUGCUCCUCUGUUAGUAAGCAACCCACUGCAGAGGAGACAAUCUACUUCCUGUUUACAUCACAUGACCAGUGGACGGUCAUGUGAUGUGUGUGCGUUACGGUGGUUGGAGAAGACGUGUGCGUGUGGCCGGAGCUCAGACGGUGAAGUCGUUCUCAGAUGUUCUUCUUCAUUCAUUCGUCUUCAGCUGCUUCGGUUUCAGAUGAGUUGUUGACGCCAUUUUUUAUUUUAAAGCAACAGUUUGAAGUCGUGUUAAACUUUUUCAUCAGCGGCUCAAAUCUCUAAAAGAUCAACUGAGGACUUAACUUAUUUAACAAGCAACAUUUUGUUGUGAUGGAUAAAUGAAAGUUUCAAUCAGUUCUUCAUCUUUCUCACUUCGUACAUUAACUGAAGAAACGUUCUCGUCUCGUUUAUCUGGAAACUCUCAGACUGAGACGUUUUCUCACUUUGCAUCAUGAACCUUCAAGUGUCAAAGUCUCACGUGUUCCAGUUCGUCUGAACCUCCGUCAGCAUCCAACACUAACUCUCUGCUGGUCCACUCUGAUCCAGGUCCCAGAGGUCAGAGGUCAGAGGUCGUCUUAUUCUUCAGAUCAUGUGAGCGUCAGUGAAUCAGACACAAACCGGUGCAGAAGGUUCUAUCCAUUCUGUAAAUAAGCUCCAGUUAGAAACGCAGCCGACACGUUUACCGGCUGAAUCCUUUAUUAUUCUUUCUUUAUUUUUUUGCUGCACCUGUUUUCAUUUUGUAUCAUUCGCCGGUGACAACCACUGAAAAUCAGAUUUUCAGGACUUAUGGGGAAAAGUUGUUUAUUUUUGUCUCACAUCCAUUAACUUGACAUUUUAACAGUUUCAAACUUCACAUGAAGAAUUAAAGUUCUUGUGUUUGUCUGCAGCAGCUCAGUUUGUGUGUCUGUGUGUGCGUGUGUGUGUGUGUGAAUCCCCUCUGUACAGCAUUUCUUCUUUCUUUUGUUCCGUUUGUCAUUUUUAAAUGUUUGUACGAGGCAAAUUUCUUUUGUUUCCAUUUUCUAUAAGAAAAGAAAAGAAUGAGCGGAAUCUUUUUGCUUUUGAUGAAAGAAACUUAAAAAUAAACAAAUGAGGAACA